UACGUAGGGGGCUAGCGUUGUCCGGAAUCAUUGGGCGUAAAGAGCGUGUAGGCGGCCCGGUAAGUCCGCUGUGAAAGUCGGGGGCUCAACCCUCGAAUGCCGGUGGAUACUGUCGGGCUAGAGUGCGGAAGAGGCGAGUGGAAUUCCUGGUGUAGCGGUGAAAUGCGCAGAUAUCAGGAGGAACACCAAUUGCGAAGGCAGCUCGCUGGGACGUAACUGACGCUGAGACGCGAAAGCGUGGGGAGCAGACAGG
rnacentral:rRNA from 1 species